CACGUAGGGCGCAAGCGUUGUCCGGAAUUAUUGGGCGUAAAGAGCUCGUAGGCGGUCUGUUGCGUCCGCUGUGAAAACUCGGGCUUAACCCCGAGCCUGCAGUGGAUACGGGCAGACUAGAGGUAGGUAGGGAGAAGUGGAAUUCCCGGUCGUAGCGGUGAAAUGCGCAGAUAUCGGGAGGAACACCGGUGGCGAAGGCGGUUCUCUGGACCACUACUGACGCUGAGGCGCGAAAGCUAGGGGAGCAAACAGG
rnacentral:rRNA from 1 species